GCGGUCGUAGCUCAAUUUGGCAGAGCACUAGAUUGUGGCUCUAGUGGUUGCGGGUUCGAGCCCCGUCGAUCGCCCCA
rnacentral:tRNA from 1 species